GCGGGAGUAGCUCAGUUGGUAGAGCGUCAGCCUUCCAAGCUGAGGGUCGCGAGUUCGAGUCUCGUCUCCCGCU
rfam:Bacteroidetes bacterium RIFCSPHIGHO2_02_FTLL_44_7 rifcsphigho2_02_scaffold_47474, whole genome shotgun sequence.